AUUCUCGAUGAGCGCGUUGUAGAUAAUCUUCAGAUUGUAAUUCCUCUGCGCGUCCAGUGUCCUAUUCAGCACCACCACUAAGACCUGGGUUUGCGGGUAGAGGAAAAAACCGGCUACAGGGACAGCCCCGAACGCCCGGUCCUCGGCCAGCUGCACUUUCUCCACCGCCACUCGGGAAGCGUGCAGCACUACGUAGCGGGUGGCGUUCCGGCACGCGAUCUCCACGUUGACCUCCCCGGAGAAGGUGAAGUUCUCCAUGAAGGCGGUGAGCAUCAGAUUGUAGUGCAGCGGCUUCAGGUGGCCCGACAGGCGCAGCUGCGUCCACGGCUCCCACGGCUCCCGCUCCUCCUCCGACGGCGGCUGGGCCGACGUGGUCCCCGGACUGGCCACCCCACCCGCCUCGGGCUGCCAGGAGUCCCCGCCUGCGUGGUGGUUGCGCCGGGCCGAUCCAGGGAGGCUCCCGUUGCCGCCGCGCUCCGGAAAGCCUGAGGGGCCACCGUCGGCGCCUGGCGUGGCACUCGCCCCGCACUCGUCGAAGCGCAGGCUGAGCAGCACAGCGAGCAUUGUGACCGCGAGCAAUGCCACGAGGGACACAGCGAAGGCCAGCACAAGCCGCUUGUGUACGGCGAUGUGGCGCUCCGUGGUGCGGGGUCGCACUCCCACUGAGUCUGCCCACGGGUCGGAGAGCCCCCUGCUGCCAGCCCGAAGCGCGGCGUCGUCUUCCCCCAUCGCGGCUGCGAAGGCGGCGGCGUUCGGUCCUCUGGGUGGAAUGUGCUCGCAGCAGCAGUGACGGCGGCCACAGCACGGGAGGCACCCGAGCCAUACACCCUGCAGCUGGAGAGAAAAGGAUGGCCGAGGUGGGAGAGACUAGAGUGAACCAGCAGGAGGAAGUCCCAGGGCCGCGAAGCUACGACGGAGAUCCGUCCUGGAAAAGCCUUCUCCACCCUGGGCACUUUAAGCGGCGGUGGCGGCAAACGGCAGGAGGUUGCAGACCCGACAGCGAGACUCCCUCAUUCCAGUCUUGCUCUGCCCUCCGGAGAUGACAAGUGAGAAAGAAGUGUCCGGCCGGGCCAUCCCCUUCAGAGAAGCAACCACUUCACAAGAAGAUUCUGAAGUUGGCCAUUUUUGAUCCCAGAACAGUUUCUCAUAGAUUAGAAAUAUUGGAGUCUACACAAAAAUCGAUAUUCAUUUACAAGAUCAUCACUAAACUUAUCUUGCAUAACUUACCAAGAAUAACUGUAAAAUGUGCUGGGAAUGCAAUGUCCUGAGAUAAGGAAGAACUGCCUGAAACAGCCUGGAUCUUAUUCCUGUACUUCCUAGGGAAUGUAACAUCUCAAGUUAAAGAGGAACUGCCCGGAACAGCCCGGGGAUUGUUCCUCUCUCCUGAGAAGGAAGAUUACCUCCAAAGCUCAUCCACUGAGUCACACUGCCCCUGUGGUGGAGGGCGGGCUGCCUUUCCAGGUUCCUCAGCUGUGGUGUAACUGAAGCAGGCACAAUCAAGACUCCAUCUGCUCGAGGCAGCUUUCUCGAACCUUGGGGAACCUACUCACAAUGGAUCACAGGCUUCUUUUGUUUUGUUUCUUGCUGCCUAUCUUGGGAAGCAAAAAUCAGCUGAGUGAAGAUGAGGAAGAAGGUGUUAAAGGUUUGAAGAAAAAAGGAAAAGGAUAUACUAAUCUAAGAGGACAAGUAAGUAGAACAUAGAUAAUGAAAAUGCUGGCCCUUAGGACUGUUGGGCCUAAAUGCUCAUAUUAUAUUGGUAGUCACAAAUUUGAACUUUCUCUAGAGCCAAUUUUUGCAUGUGUGUGCAGGCCUGGAGUAGUUGGAGAGUUGGAUUUAAUAGAAUUGAGGGUCAAGCAACUACAACCAGGGAAGAGUGGGACAAGGGAGAUAAAGGAUAUUGGCAGGGGAGCAAUUAUAAACAUGGACCAUGAUCAAAACUGGACAGGAAGGAAAAUAGAGAUAAGAGGGGUGGAAGGUUAAAAAUAGUGAAAAUGAGAUAGAAUGAAUAGGUUGUAGGUCCCUGUAAAGUUGAAGAAGUAUUAUUAUGCAGUACUCGUUAUUGAAAUGAGGUCACUAUGCUUAAGGCACAGUGAAUCCUAGAAAAUAGUGGUUUUGUUUCUCAUUAGGCAAUACAUUCCUCCUUGCUCCAGAAUGCAACAUACAUGUAUCCUUUUCUGUACUAUUUUUUAUUAAGAAUUCAUACUUAAUUCCACUGACUGCCACUCAAUUUUAAUGUACAGUAGGGAAUUCCUGUACUAUGUAUUAUGAAUCCAUUCCUUUGAAUUUCAUUUAUAAUACUUCAUGACUGACACCUGGCUUUCCACCAAGACUCAAUUUUCAUAGCAAGCCUCAUCAUCAUAAGCCCCCAAAUUAACAGGAUGAGGAGGAAGAAUUGGCAGGCUAAAGAAGAUGAUUAUAUCAAUUAAUGCAGAAAAAGCAUUUGAUAAAAUCCAAUAUUCAUUUGUAAUUAAAAACUCUCAGCAAGUUAGGGAUAGGAAUUACUUCAACUUAAUGAAGAGUGUCUUUAAAAACCUUAUUUUCAUCAGUUAUAACAAAUGUACCACUCUGGUGGUGAAUGUUGCUAAGGAGGGAAGCUAUACAUGUGUGGGGAAAGGAGAUGUGUGAGCAAUUUCUGUACCUUCUACUCAAUCUUCUGUGAGACUAAAAUUGCUGUAAAAAAUAAAGUUCAUUUUUUUAAAAA
rnacentral:lncRNA from 1 species